rnacentral:rRNA from 1 species
AGAAUUUGAUCUUGGUUCAGAUUGAAUGCUGACGGCGUGGAUGAGGCAUGCAAGUCGCACGAGACGGAGACUUCGGUCAGUGUCUAGUGGCGAAAGGGUUAGUAAUACAUGAAUAACUUACCUUUAACCCGGGAAUAACGGUUGGAAACGGCCGCUAAUACUCGAUGAGGUAUCUUUAAGUACGCUUUUAGAUAUCAAAGUGGGGGACUACUUCGGUAGCCUUGCGGUUGAAGAGAGGUUCAUGGGAUAUCAGCUUGUUGGUGUAGUAAAAGCGCACCAAGGCUAAGACGUCUAGGCGGGUUGAGAGGUCGACCGCCAACAUUGGGACUGAGACACUGCCCAAACUCCUACGGGAGGCUGCAGUCGAGAAUCAUUCGCAAUGGCGAAAGCCCGACGAUGCGACGCCGUGUGAACGAUGAAGGCCCUAGGGUUGUAAAGUUCUUUCGCUCGUGAACAAGAGAGGUCGGUGAAUAACCGGCCGAUUUGAGGGUAGCAGGUAAAGAAGCACCGGCUAACUCCGUGCCAGCAGCUGCGGUAAUACGGAGGGUGCAAGCAUUAAUCGGAUUUAUUGGGCGUAAAGGGCGCGUAGGCGGAUUGGUAAGUCAGAUGUGAAAUUCCGGGGCUCAACUUCGGAGCUGCAUUUGAAACUACCAGUCUAGAGGAUUGACGGAGAAAACGGAAUUCCACGUGUAGCGGUGAAAUGCGUAGAUAUGUGGAAGAACACCCGUGGCGAAAGCGGUUUUCUAGUUUAUUCCUGACGCUAAGGCGCGAGAGCUAGGGGAGCAAACAGGAUUAGAUACCCUGGUAGUCCUAGCCGUAAACGAUGUAUACUUGGUGUAGCUGGGCUCAACCCCGGCUGUGCCGGAGCUAGCGCGUUAAGUAUACCGCCUGGGGAGUACGCUCGCAAGGGUGAAACUCAAAAGAAUUGACGGGGGCCCGCACAAGCAGUGGAGCAUGUGGUUUAAUUCGAUGCAACGCGAAGAACCUUACCCAGGCUCGAAGUGCAGCGGCUAGCAACAGAAAUGUUGUGUUUCGUAAGAACUGCUGUAUAGGUGCUGCAUGGCUGUCGUCAGCUCGUGCCGUGAGGUGUUGGGUUAAGUCCCGCAACGAGCGCAACCCUUAUCACUAGUUGCCAGCAUGUAAUGAUGGGAACUCUAGUGAGACUGCCUAGGUUAACUAGGAGGAAGGUGAGGAUGACGUCAAGUCCGCAUGGCCUUUAUGUCUGGGGCUACACACGUGCUACAAUGGUCGGUACAGAAGGCAGCGAGACCGCAAGGUGGAGCAAAUCCUAGAAAGCCGAUCUCAGUUCGGAUUGUAGUCUGCAACUCGACUACAUGAAGUUGGAAUUGCUAGUAAUGGCGUAUCAGCAAUGACGCCGUGAAUACGUUCCCGGGCCUUGUACACACCGCCCGUCACAUCAUGGGAGUUGGUUUUACCCGAAGUCGCUGACUUAACCGCAAGGAGAGAGGCGCCUAAGGUGAGGCCGAUGACUGGGAUGAAGUCGUAACAAGGUA